UGCAAGUCGAGCGCACUCUUCGGAGUGAGCGGCGGACGGGUUAGUAACGCGUGGGAACGUACCCAGAUCUAAGGAAUAGCCACUGGAAACGGUGAGUAAUACCUUAUACGCCCUUCGGGGGAAAGAUUUAUCGGAUUUGGAUCGGCCCGCGUUAGAUUAGGUAGUUGGUGGGGUAAUGGCCUACCAAGCCUACGAUCUAUAGCUGGUUUUAGAGGAUGAUCAGCAACACUGGGACUGAGACACGGCCCAGACUCCUACGGGAGGCAGCAGUGGGGAAUAUUGGACAAUGGGCGCAAGCCUGAUCCAGCCAUGCCGCGUGUGUGAAGAAGGCUCUAGGGUUGUAAAGCACUUUCAGUAGGGAGGAAGGCCAGAGGCUUAAUAAGUCUUUGGAUUGACGUUACCUACAGAAGCAGCACCGGCUAAAUCCGUGCCAGCAGCCGCGGUAAUACGGAUGGUGCGAGCGUUAAUCGGAAUUACUGGGCGUAAAGCGCGCGUAGGCGGCUAAGUCAGUCAGAAGUGAAAGCCCCGGGCUCAACCUGGGAAUUGCUUUUGAUACUGCUUAGCUAGAGUUUGGUAGAGGAUAGUGGAAUUCCAGGUGUAGCGGUGAAAUGCGUAGAUAUCUGGAGGAACAUCAGUGGCGAAGGCGACUGUCUGGACCAAAACUGACGCUGAGGUGCGAAAGCGUGGGUAGCAAACAGGAUUAGAUACCCUGGUAGA
rnacentral:rRNA from 1 species